UGGGGAAUUGUUCGCAAUGGGCGAAAGCCUGACGACGCAACGCCGCGUGGAGGAUGAAGACCUUCGGGUCGUAAACUCCUUUCGACCGAGAAGAAUGGCUCUCGACCUAAUACGUCGAGAGCAUGACGGUACCGAGGGAAGAAGCCCCGGCUAACUCUGUGCCAGCAGCCGCGGUAAUACAGGGGGGGCAAGCGUUGUUCGGAAUUACUGGGCGUAAAGGGUUCGUAGGUGGCCAACUAAGUCAGACGUG
rnacentral:rRNA from 1 species